rnacentral:rRNA from 1 species
UACGUAGGGGGCAAGCGUUGUCCGGAUUUACUGGGCGUAAAGGGCGCGUAGGCGGCGCUGUAAGUCACUUGUGAAAUCUCCGGGCUUAACUCGGAACGGUCAAGUGAUACUGCAGUGCUAGAGUGCGGAAGGGGCAAUCGGAAUUCUUGGUGUAGCGGUGAAAUGCGUAGAUAUCAAGAGGAACACCUGAGGUGAAGACGGGUUGCUGGGUCGACACUGACGCUGACAGCGCGAAAGCCAGGGGAGCAAACGGG